AAGAGAACAUUUUCGUAUGUCCAGAACUACUUUCCAGGAACUAUUUAAUUGUAUUGGUCAUAUCCACCAAUUUGAAAACAGAAUAAUUCUAUUGGAAAAAAUUAAUGUUUAUGAUGUGGAUGCUAAGUAAACCAGAGAAUUUGUUGCUGGGGAUACGUUUGGUUUGCCAAAGAGCUCUGGACAUAAGAUUUUCACCCAAAUAAUAUAGAAUUACAAAAAAUUGGAAAUAACUAAUCUUGAAUAUCAAUGUGUAUAUUGAGUUUAAUUUUAUUGUAAAUAUUCUAUAAUAUAAUUUUAUUGUAAAUAUUGUAUUAACACAUUUGUGGACACAUCUUCAUAUGCAGACAGUAAUUUCCCUUUGUAAGUACAUGCAUAUUAGUCGUAUCUGCGAAUGGGUUAAUUGUAAAUCGUAAUCAAUAAAAAUUUUUUGUGAAUCAAUAAAAAACUGGUUUGUUUGAAAAUAAAUGUAGUACAAAUGUG